AUUGAACGCUGGCGGCAGGCCUAACACAUGCGAGUCGAACGGUAACAGGAAACAGCUUGCUGUUUCGCUGACGAGUGGCGGACGGGUGAGUAAUGUCUGGGAAACUGCCUGAUGGAGGGGGAUAACUACUGGAAACGGUAGCUAAUACCGCAUAACGUCGCAAGACCAAAGAGGGGGACCUUCGGGCCCCUUGCCAUCGGAUGUGCCCAGGUGGGAUUAGCUUGUUGGUGGGGUAACGGCUCACCAAGGCGACGAACCCUAGCUGGUCUGCGGGGAGGACCAGCCAGAAUGGAAGUGAGGAACGGGCCAGGCUCCUUGGGGAGGCAGCAGUGGGGAAUAUUGCACAAUGGGCGCAAGCCUGAUGCAGCCAUGCCGCGUGUAUGAGGAAGGCCUUCGGGUUGUAAAGGACUUGCAGCGGGGAGGAAGGGAGUAAAGUUAAUACCUUUACUCAUUGACGUUACCCGCAGAAGAAGCACCGGCUAACUCCGUGCCAGCCGCCGCCGUAA
rnacentral:rRNA from 1 species